GUCAAUGACAAGAGAGAAAUAGACAUAGAGUGGUCACUUCAUUUACCAACCCUGGAACCGCAGACCUCUGGGCUUCCUGAUAAAGAAAAUGGGUACGGCCAAGACCAUAGACCUAGUGAUUGUCAGAUGAACAAUUAGACCCACAGAACCAUCCAAGCUACAGAGGACGCAUUCUGCCUUCCCUUGGAUCCUGUGGUUUGAGGAUGGAGGUCUAGGACCGUGGCAGGCUUUUUGUCCCAUGAGGGAAGGCCAUGGAGCUGAGGAAGGGGAAGAACACACACACCUAAUGGAAUCUCGAGAGAAAGUUCAGACAUCAAAAGACAGAAGCGACAGAGACCCAGGUCUGUGGGGACGCUGUAUGGCUGAGUCAAGUCUUGAUCAAAGUCAGCAUUAUAUCUGGACUUGCACAGUUUCUGAGCCUUGAAACUCCAUUUCGUUUAAGUGAGCUUUUAACUGUCACAGGCAGCUGCAUGCACACACAAGUCCAUGUGAUUAGAUGUUUCCAAGAGUCUGGAAUAACAUACCCCAAACUGUUAAUAGUGGUUACCCUAUAGAAGGGGAGUAGGAAGGUGUGUGUUGGGGUGGAGGAUGGUUUGCCAACUGGAAACUCACUCCAGGCUAACAUUUAUUGCUAGGCACCAUUCUAAACUUUGCCAGUAAUCCUCUCCCUAGAGGCUGAGGAAGAC
rnacentral:lncRNA from 10 species